UACGAAGGGGGCAAGCGUUGUUCGGAAUCAUUGGGCGUAAAGCGCGUGUAGGCGGUCUAUUAAGUCGAGUGUGAAAUCCCUAGGCUCAACCAAGGAAGUGCAUUCGAAACUAAUAGACUAGAAGAUGGUAGAGGAUGGUGGAAUUCCAGGUGUAGAGGUGAAAUUCGUAGAUAUCUGGAGGAAUACCGGUGGCGAAGGCGGCCAUCUGGGCCAUUCUUGACGCUGAGACGCGAAAGCGUGGGUAGCAAACAGG
rnacentral:rRNA from 1 species